rnacentral:tRNA from 1 species
GCUGUGGCUCAGUGGCACAGCAUCGGCUUUGCAUACAGAGGUUCCCAGGUUCAAUCCCUGGUAUCUCCA